rnacentral:rRNA from 1 species
CAAGCUUCAAAUCCACCGUCGCUCUCGCCCUCGCCCUCGCUCCUAGAGGGCGUCACCGCUGAAGGGGACACCGCGUUGCAUGUGGUGGCCACCAAUGGAGAUGGCGCCAGAUACCUGAGUUGUGCCAGCUUCGUCCACGGAAAGGCCAGGCACCUCCUCUACAAGGUCAACAGCCACGGCGACACUCCCCUCCACUGCGCCGCCAGGGCCGGGAGAUCUUCCGUGGUCUCCCACCUCGUCGCCCUAGUUCAAGGCGAUGACGACGGUGCCGGACACCGGCUCAGGGAGCUCGUGAGGACGGAGAAUGGGUGCAAUCAGACGGCCCUGCACGAGGCUGUCCGCAUUGGGAGCGACCACAUCGUUGAGCUGCUAAUGGCGGCCGACUCGGAAUUGGCUUGUUUUCCCAAGGACGGCGCCACUUCGCCGUUGUACCUCGCCGUCUUGCAUGAUCGGCCCGACAUUGCACAAACACUGUAUGAGAAGAGCGGUGGGCAUCUCUCGUAUUCUGGACCCGAUGGGCAAAAUGCAUUGCAUGCUGCUGCUCUUCGUAGCCAAGCCAUGACAGAAAUGCUACUGGAAUGGAACAUUGGCCUUACAGCGCAAAAGGACCGAAAUGGGAGCACGCUCCUUCACUUUGCAACAUCAAUUCUACACGCAAGAGCUAACCCAACUCCGAUAUAUCAGUCAGAUGGUCAGGGACUAUUCCCUAUACACAUUGCUGCUUCCAUAGGUGUGAACAAGGCCAUUGCCAAAUUUUUAGACAAGGGAAGAACUUUCCUUCAUGUCGCUGUCGAAAAGAAGAAAUGGAACACAGUCGCACUUGGUUGCACUCCAUCGUUAUCAUGGAUUUUGAAUAUGCAAGACAAUGAAGGAAAUACUGCACUACACCUAAGUGUAAUGCUUGGGUAUCAGGACAUCUUCUGUUUGCUCCUGGAGAAUCCUAAAGUGCGGCUAAAUCUAACAAAUAAAAAGGGGGAAACUCCUCUAGAUCUAUCACAGAGUAAGAUUCGCGCUGGAUGUUUUUGUGCAUGGAGCCCCAGAUUUGUGAUGAAUGCUGCUUUAAUAUACUGUCACGCUAAACAUGGCAAUCGCCGAUUGGAUCACUUUGAAGAACAAUACAUUCAAGCAGAAGAUGAAGAGAAAGAAUCAGACAAACUGACAGCUUUGACUCAAACAUUGGGCAUUGGGUCAGUGCUAAUGGCAACUGUGGCAUUUACUGCAACUUUCACUCCACCAGGGGAUUACAGUGACAAUGGCACACCGAAUCUUUCUAGGAGGUAUGUCUUUGAUGCAUGCAUCGCAGCCAACUCGCUGGCAUUCGGGUGCUCUGGUUUAACUACUAUCAACCUCAUGUACUCUGGGACAGCUAUCGUCGACGUGCCUUUGCGCAGCAAACACUUCGACGUAGCUGUAGUCUUCGCAUUUUGUUCGGUCACAAGUUUGGCUACGGCCUUUGUGCUAGGCCUAUAUGUGGUGUUGGACCCAUUUGCCCAUAUGACUUCAAUUGCAGUGUGUGUGGUGGCUUCUCUUUUGUGUCUGUGUGGAUACAUAGACCCCCUGCAAGGACAAGCUGUAGCUAGAGCUUUAUUUCGUCGAAUGGGUUAUCCAGCACUGGUGAUAUCCGCACGCAUUCUCAUCAUCCGGACAACGAUGGUGUUUUGGCCCUUGAUAGCAAGCUUCAUUUGGGCAGCAAUCUCAGGAAAAGAUCGUCACAAGAAAAUGACCUGA